GAGUACGGGUUAGGUUUAGGGUUAAGGUUAGGAUAAGAGUACGGGUUAGGUUUAGGGUUAAGGUUAGGGUAAUAGUACAGGUUAGGUUUAGGGUUAAGGUUAGGAUAAGAGUACGGGUUAGGUUUAGGGUUAAGGUUAGGAUAAGAGUACGGGUUAGGUUUAGGGUUAAGGUUAGGGUAAUAGUACAGGUUAGGUUUAGGGUUUAAGGUUAGGAUAAGAGUACGGGUUAGGUUUAGGGUUAAGGUUAGGAUAAGAGUACGGGUUAGGUUUAGGGUUAGGGGUUCGAAAAAAUAUGAUUUUGAAUGGGACUGAAUUGUGUGUCCCCACAAGGUUAGCUGUAC
rnacentral:lncRNA from 1 species